rnacentral:rRNA from 1 species
AAACUUGAGAGUUUGAUCCUGGCUCAGAACGAACGCUGGCGGCAGGCUUAACACAUGCAAGUCGAACGCGUGUAGCAAUACACGAGUGGCGCACGGGUGAGUAACGCGUGGAUAUCUGCCUUUUGGUUCGGAAUA